GACGAACGCUGGCGGCGUGCUUAACACAUGCAAGUCGAACGGAAAGGCCCUGCUUUUGUGGGGUGCUCGAGUGGCGAACGGGUGAGUAACACGUGAGUAACCUGCCCUUGACUUUGGGAUAACUUCAGGAAACUGGGGCUAAUACCGGAUAGGAGCUCCUGCUGCAUGGUGGGGGUUGGAAAGUUUCGGCGGUUGGGGAUGGACUCGCGGCUUAUCAGCUUGUUGCUGGGGUAGUGGCUUACCAAGGCUUUGACGGGUAGCCGGCCUGAGAGGGUGACCGGCCACAUUGGGACUGAGAUACGGCCCAGACUCCUACGGGAGGCAGCAGUGGGGAAUAUUGCACAAUGGGCGGAAGCCUGAUGCAGCAACGCCGCGUGCGGGAUGACGGCCUUCGGGUUAUAAACAGCUUUCGCCUGUGACGAAGCGUGAGUGACGGUAAUGGGUAAAGAAGCACCGGCUAACUACGUG
rnacentral:rRNA from 1 species